rnacentral:rRNA from 1 species
AAAUUGAAGAGUUUGAUCAUGGCUCAGAUUGAACGCUGGCGGCAGGCCUAACACAUGCAAGUCGAGCGGAAACGAGUUAUCUGAACCUUCGGGGAAUGAUAACGGCGUCGAGCGGCGGACGGGUGAGUAAUGCCUAGGAAAUUGCCCUGAUGUGGGGGAUAACCAUUGGAAACGAUGGCUAAUACCGCAUGAUGCCUACGGGCCAAAGAGGGGGACCUUCGGGCCUCUCGCGUCAGGAUAUGCCUAGGUGGGAUUAGCUAGUUGGUGAGGUAAGGGCUCACCAAGGCGACGAUCCCUAGCUGGUCUGAGAGGAUGAUCAGCCACACUGGAACUGAGACACGGUCCAGACUCCUACGGGAGGCAGCAGUGGGGAAUAUUGCACAAUGGGCGCAAGCCUGAUGCAGCCAUGCCGCGUGUGUGAAGAAGGCCUUCGGGUUGUAAAGCACUUUCAGUCGUGAGGAAGGUAGUGUAGUUAAUAGCUGCAUUAUUUGACGUUAGCGACAGAAGAAGCACCGGCUAACUCCGUGCCAGCAGCCGCGGUAAUACGGAGGGUGCGAGCGUUAAUCGGAAUUACUGGGCGUAAAGCGCAUGCAGGUGGUUUGUUAAGUCAGAUGUGAAAGCCC